CCUUUGACGUUAGCGGCGGACGGGUGAGUAACACGUGGGUAACCUACCUAUAAGACUGGGAUAACUUCGGGAAACCGGAGCUAAUACCGGAUAAUAUUUCGAACCGCAUGGUUCGAUAGUGAAAGGUGGUUUUGCUAUCACUUAUAGAUGGACCCGCGCCGUAUUAGCUAGUUGGUAAGGUAACGGCUUACCAAGGCGACGAUACGUAGCCGACCUGAGAGGGUGAUCGGCCACACUGGGAACUGAGACACGGUCCAGACUCCUACGGGAGGCAGCAGAG
rnacentral:rRNA from 1 species